CCAUUGGCUUCAGCAGCCCUAGCCCCUGAGGACACACAUACACACACCAUGGUGCAGCACAACUUGGUUAAUCCGACUAGCAAGCGCAGACGAUCGGUCAACAGACGUACACACGCCAAGCUUAACAGCUAGAGCAACCGAGCAAGCAGCAAGAACGAACAAGAGAGAACAAAAACAACAUGUGGGCGCGUGUGCAACAAAUGGGGGCGUGGUGUGGGGUGUGUUAAGAAUCUCUACGGUGCAACAAAGAACCAAGCAAAAGGAUACAAAGGACCGGCGAUUAAGAGGAAGGAGAAAAGGCAAUUAAAGCAGGAGGAAAGGAAAAGGUAAAGAUGAAAGAGAAACACACACCACCACCACCACCACCGCACAAAACACAACUUUGCUCGUUUGCUGUUGUAGGGUUGUGUACUACUUCUGCUGCUGCUGCUUGCUGCCACACAUCACCAGGACAUGGCUACUCUUUUGAUGCAAGGAGAGAGAGAAGAAAAGCUGAUUGAGAAAAGAAGGCGAGGGGAUAAAAAGGAUGAUAGAGAGGAAAGGGGGAUUAGAAAGAAGGGAAAAGAAAGGUGAUGGUCUGUGUGUUUGCUGCUUUCAUGGAUCAAAAGGGGACGGCAGCAGGGGGAUUAAAGCUCACAGAGGCCUCACCUUAAAGCCUAUGGAGGAGAGGGCCGUGCUGAUUAUGAUGCAGAUGCAUAGAUCUACACAACAUAUAAAGGAAGAACAAGCCCCAAGAGGAAACCAAAGAGAGAUCAUGGUCACAUGAUCAAAGAAGUCGUGCACCCAGAACCAAGGCACGAAGAGAGGAACAUGGACAGCUAGCAGCAAGAUCAAGGAGAACAAAAUCCAAAUUCCGACAAGUGUGCUGCAGAAAACUGAUCUUUGCAAAGAGAUUUACCUGGUGCCAGUGGGCUGCAUCCAUGCAAGGACGACUCCAAUUUGCUUCCCAACAAUUCUUGCUCGAUCCAGAUGUCUAAAUACGAGGAGAAGGGCGGCCGGAAGAAGAAGAGGAGCUCCUGCUACUUCAGGAGAACUGCUCGUCCUUCACACGCAUGAGACCGGAGGCUACGAGUGGUCAACCGGCCGGGAUUCCUUACGGAGGCGAAGGGGAGGAAGCCCAGGGAAUGGCGGUUUGUGGGGCCUCGAAACGUGCUUAGGACGGCGCGGCACGUGCCGGACACGGCGUUUCUUAAUCCCCCGGGCGUCACUGUUUGGUGCAACCUUUCGCGUUUCUUUUCCUUUUUCUUUUUCUUUUCUCGUUAUAUAUGCGACAUGGCACCUGCCUGUUUGUUUCAAGUGUACAGUAAUUUUCUUUUGGACGCCGAAGCACCAACAAUUGAACUACCAAAGUCAUGUUCCGUAAACAAAAAUAUAUCUAGGUCAUUGUAUCGCCAAAUUGAGCUAGGAGAUUUAUAUAUGGCUUCAAGGUGUGUUUGUGUAAAGUUCACAAAAUACCAUUACAAAGGAAAUGGAUGAGCAUAUAUGUGUCAGAA